ensembl:lncRNA
CUGGUCAGCUAACAGGACCAGCUAGACCAUGCUGGUCAGCUAACAGGACCAGCUAGACCAUGCUAGCAAUGCUGAAAAAAAUGGCCCCACUAAUACAGGACUAGUAAAGAUGAGGCUAACACUUGGUGUUAUUGUGCAUGUUAGUUCUCCAUGUGAAUGUUACUUUUCUAUAACUUUUUUUUCUUCCUAUUUUGUUGUUUUCUUCCACUCACCUCCUCACUUCCCAGUCCCCCUUGCAGAGUUUUUCAAAGGUUUUGAAUAGCCUUACUCUGGCACUGCCAAAUAGGCUAGGCAGGGCAGCAACUAAAUCUAUCAGUUGGAACAUGUGCGGUUUCAACCACCAGAUCAAAUGCGUUGUCAUUGAGCAGGGCAAACUAUUCAACAUGCCAGUUGUCUUAGCCAGUAUGUAUGCUUCUAAUUGGGCCAAUGACCAGUUUUUAUGGGAGUUUUUUUUCACUCCCCCCUGAUCUGAACACUCACCGACUUACACUAGCAGGGGAUUUGAACUGUUUCCUGCACCCCACAUUAGAUCGCUCUACAACGGUAUCAGGGCCUUUUCUAAAUCAGCACGUUUUAUUAAUUAUUUUAACCAGGUAUAUUGUGUAACAGACCCAAUCCUACAUCUUAACAAUGUGCUCUAUUUUCCCCAGUCCUUCAGACGUAUUCCAGAAUUGAUAGUUUCCUUCGAGACAACAAGUUGCUCCCAAUACUGAAGUCCACUGAUUAUGAGGGUAUUGUCAUCUCAGACUACAGUGCAGUGGUAAUGGUAUUGUGUUUUCCUGAUAACGUUCUCCCACAAUGCACUUGGCGACUCAAUCCACGUCUCUUCUCAGAUGAAGAAUUGAACAGAUGCGUAUAUAUCUGCCCAAAUUGAUUUUUUCCUUGAGGUCAAUCGGCUUUCAGAGACAAUAAUGGGAAGCGCUGAAAGCUACGUGGCCAGAUCAUAUCAUAUGACGCCGGCAUGAAUAAGAGGUCAGGGCAUCUUACAGAACUUGCUAACCUUAUAAACGACAUUGAUCAGAGGCACUCAACCACGCCAUUGGAUAUUUGAUGGAUAUUCGCGCUUUCAAACCUCAAUAGCUUUCUAACCACUAGAGUCACAGACUCCAAAUAAGUGUCUUGAUGUUGGAAAAAUUGCGCACACCAUUGCAGAGGUCUUAUUUUCACGAUUUGGACAUUACUUCGCUUUCCAAAGCUAAUAAACAUGUGGAAAUGUGAGCAGCAUCUUGUAUUCCAAGUUGAAUUUGUUAGGGAGCGUAAUCAAAGUGCAAACGUUUUGUACAUUCAAAGUUUAAUAGCUCCUGGUGACUUCAAACAAGGUUCAGAAUGUCCACUCAGUGGGCCUACACAUUGCACACCCUUUAGUUUGUCCAUUUUCAUCUCACAUGGAUUUACAUGAAAUUUUCAAUAUUUAGAAUUUCAAUACCUCCUUGGUCAUGUGACCUGGUAACUUCAAACAAGGUUCAGAAUGUCCACUGACUACCCUUCUAUAUUGCACACCCUUUAGUUUGUCAAUUUUCAUCUCACAUUGGUUUUACAGGAAUUUCUCAAAAUGUAGAAUUUCAAUAGCUCCUUGGUCAUGUGACCUACUGACCUCAAACAAUGUCCCACUUACUAUACCUUCAUAUAUCGCACACUCUGAUGUUUGUCUACUUUCAUAUCAUGCUAUUAGACUUAAAUCUGUAAGCUUUGCAGGCCUUCAUUUUACAUGGGUGUUAAAAAAUCUGUUUAAGUCAACAAAUGUUCCAUCCUCGCAAUAACUAUCUUUCACAUGGACACUGAAAAUAUCUGCAAUUGGCUGUAUGUGGAAUGGAUCAAGGACAGGAGAGGUGUUCGAACAGAGGUGCUUUAAGGAAGGUGCACAGGUGGGCCUCAUGAAAAACAAUGUUUCAUAAGUUAUUUUUAACCACAGUAAUAGGCAGUGAUUUGUCAGUCAAUCCUUUUCAUAGCAUCACUUUCAUAUACUGUACAUUAAGACAAAUCCUUCUACGUCGAGAAUUAGAACGCAGUUUACAUAACCUGAUAAUUACUUGAUAUUUGAGUGCGUUCACAACAAGCCUCCUGCAGACAACUUACAAAAUGCAAUAUUGUAUUUGAGGCUUUGUUUUUCUGAUGAAAGUAGUUAUUUGAUGCAUGGCCUACUAUUUCUAACUGGGAAAAUACUCAGCAAAUUGGAUGCAGUCUAUCACAGUGCCAUCCGUUUCGUCACCAAAGCCCCAUAUACUACCCACCACAGCGACCUGUAUGCUCUCAUUGGCUGGCCCUCGCUUCAUAUUCGUUGCCAAACCCACUGGCUCCAGGUCAUCUAUAAGUCCUUGCUAGGUAAAGCCCCGCCUUAUCUCAGCUCACUGGUCACCAUAGCAGCACCCACCCGUAGCAUGCGCUCCAGCAGGUAUAUUUCACUGGUCACCCCCAAAGCCAAUUCCUCCUUUGGCCGCCUUUCCUUCCAGUUCUCUGCUGCCAAUGACUGGAACGAAUUGCAAACAACACUGAAGCUGGAGACUCAUAUCUCCCUCACUAUCUUUAAGCAUCAGCUAUCAGAGCAGCUUACAGAUCAUUGCACCUGUACAUAGCUGUCACGAGAAUUUACAAUCCCAAUGAUGAUAACAAUCACUGUAGCUUUGACCAAUUCCCCCUAGGUUGUAAAGCUAGGGUUAAUAAGAAUUAGGCAAAGACUCAUAUUCUGCAAAAGGUUCAUUGUUGUUUAUUCAUGAGAGCUCUAAAGUCAACCAAAAUUCGAACAGUCUUUAUAACCUCCUCUAUGCACACACACACACACACACACACACACACACACACAGUUGUAUCACUUUUCUACCAGCCUUUGCAGUUUCUCGCCGUACUCUCCUCUCCUUCCUAGAUUAGAGAGGCCUUGGAAGGGCCCUCCUGUUGUCAGCUUUUUCAGAGUUAUCAUGUGUAGUCUACCAGCCUCUGUUUUCUCCACAUAUUUCUCCCUCUUAACUUGUCCCACACAUGUAUUAUUGGAAUAUAGUCUUAUAUGUUUCAGGGUGGAAUUCUUUAGUCAUUUCUUUAAACAUAUAAAUUCCCUUAUCAAUAGCCCAUCUGUAAAUAGCCCAUCCAACUACCUCAACCCCAUAUUGUUUUUUUUUCUUUUUCUCCUUUGCACCCCAGUAUCUCUACUUGCACAUUCAUCGUCUGCACAUGUCACUCCAGUGUUUAUUUGCGAAAUUGUAAUUAUUUCACCACUACGGCCUAUUUAUUGCCUUUCCUCCCUAAUCUUACUUCAUUUGCACACACUGUAUAUAGACUUUUGUAUUGUGUAUUGUGUUAUAUUUCUCAACUGCAUACAGUGGGGCAAAAAAGUAUUUAGUCAGCCACCAAUUGUGCAAGUUCUCCCACUUAAAAAGAUGAGAGAGGCCUGUAAUUUUCAUCAUAGGUACACUUCAACUACGACAGACUAUAACUAAUCAUAAUUCCAUUAUGUUUACAUAAAAAAGAGAAUACUUCAAAAUGAGAAGAUCCUGCCAUGGAAAAGACGACUACGUGGACAUAAAGUGUAAAGGAGGGGAAAUAACUCCCACCAUGCAGCAGGACACCUUCAGCUGUGGGGUCUUUGUAAUGCAGAUGGCCAAGGAAGUUGCACAGAACUUCCCCAACAUCCCCUCCCAAACUGAUAUGGAACCUUCAAAAACACAUGGAGCAACUGCGAAAAGAAAUGGCUGAGGAUAUGUUAAAAAUGUCUGAUAUGUAAUGACAUUUAAUUCAAAGUAAAUGUAAAUACUUUAUUUUUAUGUAGUUGUGUGGGACAGCCAUAUGUUCAGUUCAUGCCUAUGAUUUCAGAGUUCAACAAAGCCAACAACUGCUUCAUGUGUGCCACUGAUAAAGAACCUGGAUGUGCCUCAAAGACUGACUGGGUUAGUAACUUUAUUUAACAUGUUUAUAAUCUUUUGACAACAGUGAUGGCAUGUAAGACAAUUUAUGAUAUAACACAAUGGAUGGCUAAUUCAUCAUUCGUCAUUCUGCGUUGAUAUUUGAUUUUAUGUAUAACGUGUUACACUUUGUUUUGUUUUAGACUGACUGUUUUACAUGCCAAUAGUGGUUCCAUGUGCUGUAACUAGGUAGGAAGACUAAAGAGUUCAACAGAGUAAAGAACACAAACUGGAAGUGCGGUCUUUGUUGUUGAAAAUGUAUGCUCUACCCCAUCCACACUGAAGAGGCUCUGACAUGUACAUCAACCAGAGUUAAUGUCUGCUCUACCCCAUCCACACUGAAGAGGCUCUGACAUGUACAUCAACCAGAGUUAAUGUCUGCUCUACCCCAUCCACACUGAAGAGGCUCUGACAUGUACAUCAACCAGGGUUAAUGUCUGCUCUACCCCAUCCACACUGAAGAGGCUCUGACAUGUACAUCAACCAGGGAUAAUGUCUGCUCUACCCCAUCCACACUGAAGAGGCUCUGACAUGUACAUCAACCAGGGUUAAUGUCUGCUCUACCCCAUCCACACUGAAGAGGCUCUGACAUGUACAUCAACCAGGGAUAAUGUCUGCUCUACCCCAUCCACACUGAAGAGGCUCUGACAUGUACAUCAACCAGGGAUAAUGUCUGCUAUACCCCAUCCACACUGAAGAGGCUCUGAAAUGAACCAGGGAUAAAGAGAAAGUUAACAGUGAAAUGUUUUGUAUUUAAUUGAAGUUAAGUGUCUGACAUGUUGGAAAAGAUUAAAGGUCUAC